UACAGAGGGUGCAAGCGUUAAUCGGAUUUACUGGGCGUAAAGCGUGCGUAGGCGGUUCAUUAAGUCGGUUGUGAAAUCCCUGGGCUUAACCUGGGAACUGCAGUCGAUACUGAUGGACUAGAGUGCGGUAGAGGGUGGCGGAACUCCGGGUGUAGCGGUGAAAUGCGUAGAUAUCCGGAAGAACACCGAUGGCGAAGGCAACCACCUGGGCCUGCACUGACGCUGAGGUACGAAAGCGUGGGGAGCAAACAGG
rnacentral:rRNA from 1 species